rnacentral:lncRNA from 1 species
CUUCCCAGCUCCUUCAACAAGGCCAACUCCACUCUUGGGAAAAAGUUGGCUGACAGCCAUCUUGAAAGAUUGAGGGCUGAAAAUCCAAGAACUGAGGAUCAAGAUCUCUCCCCUGUCAUAAAACUACAUAUGGAUCUGCCCUUCAGUAGGAAAUUCCUAAAAGUCUCCCAUGAGAUAAAGAAUCAGUGCUGGAAAACUCACUCCGAUACCACCACCACCAAAUCAUGAUAGAAACAGCUAUGUGUGUCUUUUUUUAAUUAGACCUCAUCUUCCUUGGAACUAACUCUGAAAGGGCCAUGAAUCUCAGCCCCCCCAAAAUCCCUCCCCAAAAGCAUGCUGCCAGGUGAUGCAGGCCCAAGCUAGGUGACAGAUGUUUAACUUGGAAUGAUGUUUGCAGUCAUGUGAUAAUAACAUUGGAUGGAACAAUUCAGAGGCUGUUCUUAUGAUUACAAGUAAUGGGGACAUUUUUAUCAUUUGAGAAUGACUGCAAAACUAUGGAAUUUGGCAAAGACUUUAUUUGGAAGCAGGGAAGAAAGCCCACUGAAUAGCUUUGAAGGGAUAAUGGAGGGAAAGAAUUAUGUUGUUUUCUGCUUUUGUCCUAUAGAGUUUCAUUUCAACACCAGGAUACUUCCACAAAGCAGUCUUGGCCAUGUUGAUGGUAAGGAAAGAAUGACAGCUAAUAACAGCUGCCUGUUAUGUGUGAUGCCAUCUUAAGGACAUCUCCCGCAUGCACCCAUUUUUUCUUUUUUUUUUUUUGGUGACUAUUUAUGGGCUUACUGGCUAGGAAAAGACACAACAAUGAAAUGCAAAAAUAUGAGAUAUUACAAUGGUUCUAUAUUUGAAUCCGCUAUUCAAUACCACCCAUAGCUAUUAUCUAGAGCUCAUGGUUUUUCUCUCUUUGCUGAGAAGUCUAAAUGAAUUCCACAUUUUCUAGUCUUGAAUCUGGCAACUCUUGGUUUAUUUAAUAUAUCCUGACCAUGAAAAACAUUUUUAAAAUGUUGACUUACCACUCUGUCUGGGAAGGUGGGAACUCUGUGUUUCUCUUCAUUGACUGCAGUAUGCAGAUUAGCAUCUGAACAUUAAAACAAAGUAAUAUCAGAAGGAACUUUAAACAAAACAAAGAGAAACACUCAAUGUUAUGAAUUAAAAGAAUGAACCAGCUUGUGUGAGCAAUACUCCAGAUUAAGUGAAUCCAGACACAACAUCUGGAGUGAUUCUGUAGCUUUCCUAUAUAAGGCCCAACUCCUAUGUAGGCCAUGUAUCCUGGAAAGAGGAUGGAUCAAGGCAUCUUGGACAAAAAGAAAUAAAGACACCUAACUUUUUCUCUUUUAGUUGUUAUGCCCAUGGACUUCCCAGUAGCUCAGCAGAAGAAGCCAAGGGAAUAAAUUAUACUUGGACAGAUAGACAGUAUUACAGCUGCUCAGGAGCUGCAACACCUCUACACUCUGUAGUUUUCCUCAGAGGCACAGCACCUGUGGCACCCAGAACACAUGGUGAGUGUCAUCCAGACAGAGCCUAGGAAGGCAAUCCCAAGGCAGUGCUCUCUCUGGCCUUUUUCCUGCUCCUUCCAGAAAGUUAGGGCAUUGUCAAAGCUGGAAUCUGACCUGCUAGGUAAUGAUAAUAGACCAAAUAGACCAUAGACAAAACCACU